GCCGGUGACGGUGUUGGUGCUGUUGGGUUGGAGCAGCCAACAUCAGCUGCUGAAGAGAAGUCAGAGAUGUGCAGGAAGGCAAUCGAAAGAUUGGGAUCUGAAACCGGUAGAGCCCAGACACCGCAGCGAGUAGAAUUGAUCUCUGAGUUAUCAUCGCUUGUCAUUACGUCAUGCCCCAACAUUCCACAGGAAAAUGCCUUCAAGAACACAGCACUAGACGUUCUGCAGUCCAUCACCAGAAAACUGGGCAAACUGGACAUGUCUGACCCGUCCACUGCCGAAUCUGUGGGAGGU